rnacentral:lncRNA from 1 species
GAUUUUCGAGAACCCGCGCGUGAGCCCCGGAACCGAAACUAGCUUGAGGAGCCUGGAGACGCCAAGGGCUCCAUGGGAAGGGGUGGGACCGGAAUUUCGACGCCUUGGGAUAGGAAGAGGAGGGCUGAGGUAAUGAAAACAAUUUUUUUUUAUUUUUAUUUUUUGAGACAUGGUCUCGCUCUGUCACCCAGGCUGGAAUGCAGCGGCGCGAUCUCGGCUCGCUGCAGCCUCGACCUCCCAGGCUCAGGUGAUUCUCCCGCCUCAGCCUCCCAGGUAGUUGGGACUACAAGCGUGCAUAACUCCGCCAGGAUAAUUUUUUGUAUUUAUUGUAGAGACGGGGUUUCGCCAUGUUGCCCAGGCUGAUCUUGAACUCCUGACCUCAGGUGAUCAUCCCGCCUCAGCCUCUCACAGUGCUGGGAUU